rnacentral:rRNA from 1 species
GAGGAGCUUGCUUUUCUGAUCUAGUGGCGGACGGGUGAGUAACACGUGAGCAAUCUGCCUUUCAGAGGGGGAUACCGAUUGGAAACGAUCGUUAAUACCGCAUAACAUAAUUGAACCGCAUGAUUUGAUUAUCAAAGAUUUAUCGCUGAAAGAUGAGCUCGCGUCUGAUUAGCUAGUUGGUAAGGUAACGGCUUACCAAGGCGACGAUCAGUAGCCGGACUGAGAGGUUGAUCGGCCACAUUGGGACUGAGACACGGCCCAGACUCCUACGGGAGGCAGCAGUGGGGAAUAUUGCACAAUGGAGGAAACUCUGAUGCAGCGAUGCCGCGUGAGGGAAGAAGGUUUUAGGAUUGUAAACCUCUGUCUUCAGGGACGAAAAAAGACGGUACCUGAGGAGGAAGCUCCGGCUAACCACGUGCCAGCAGCCGCGGUAAUACGUAGGGAGCGAGCGUUGUCCGGAAUUACUGGGUGUAAAGGGAGCGUAGGCGGGAUCGCAAGUCAGAUGUGAAAACUAUGGGCUUAACCCAUAAACUGCAUUUGAAACUGUGGUUCUUGAGUGAAGUAGAGGUAAGCGGAAUUCCUAGUGUAGCGGUGAAAUGCGUAGAUAUUAGGAGGAACAUCAGUGGCGAAGGCGGCUUACUGGGCUUUAACUGACGCUGAGGCUCGAAAGCGUGGGGAGCAAACAGGAUUAGAUACCCUGGUAGUCCACGCCGUAAACGAUGAUUACUAGGUGUGGGGGGACUGACCCCUUCCGUGCCGCAGCAAACGCAAUAAGUAAUCCACCUGGGGAGUACGACCGCAAGGUUGAAACUCAAAGGAAUUGGCGGGGGCCCGCACAAGCAGUGGAGUAUGUGGAUUAAUUCGAAGCAACGCGAAAAACCUUACCAGGUCUUGACAUCGUAUGCAUAGCUCAGAGAUGAGUGAAAUCUCUUCGGAGACAUAUAGACAGGUGGUGCAUGGUUGUCGUCAGCUCGUGUCGUGAGAUGUUGGGUUAAGUCCCGCAACGAGCGCAACCCUUACUGUUAGUUGCUACGCAAGAGCACUCUAGCAGGACUGCCGUUGACAAAACGGAGGAAGGUGGGGAUGACGUCAAAUCAUCAUGCCCCUUAUGACCUGGGCCUCACACGUACUACAAUGGCUGUCAACAGAGGGAAGCAAAGCCGCGAGGUGGAGCGAACCCCUAAAAGCAGUCUUAGUUCGGAUUGUAGGCUGCAACCCGCCUGCAUGAAGUCGGAAUUGCUAGUAAUCGCAGAUCAGCAUGCUGCGGUGAAUACGUUCCCGGGCCUUGUACACACCGCCCGUCACGCCAUGGGAGUCGGUAACACCCGAAGCCUGUAGUCUAACCGCAAGGAGGACGC